UGGGGUUAUGAAAUUUGUUUUUUUGUUCUCUACAAUGAGCUGAUCUAGGAAGACCUAGUUAAGGAAAUAGAUGGAGGAAGAAUUAGACCUAGCUAGGUUAACAUGAUGGUAAAUAGUGUGAUAAAGACAGGUUGUUGAAGCUCUCGUUUGAAGGAAAUCUGAUUGGCAGCAAUGGCUGCUACGUAUUUUAACUAGCUAACAAGUCUAUGGAGUACCCUAGUCCCCUCAAAUUCUCUUUCGGUCUAAAAAGAAGAAAUUGAUGAUCUUGAAAGAGAUAAGAUGCAUCUUCAUCAAGGUUGACUAUCUGAGAAUUGAC
rnacentral:lncRNA from 1 species